GUGCAAACACCAACUCCCGUACGAUCACCGGAGUUAAGCAACGUCGAACCUGGUCAGUACUUAGAUGCGCAACAGCUUGGGAAUACCAGCUGUAGUA